rnacentral:rRNA from 1 species
AUACGGAGGAUGCGAGUGUUAUCCGGAUUUAUUGGGUUUAAAGGGUGCGUAGGCUGUGCGUUAAGUCAGGGGUGAAAUGCCGUCGCUCAACGACGGAGCUGCCCUUGAUACUGGCGUGCUGGAGUACGGAUGCCGUUGGAGGAAUGAGUGGUGUAGCGGUGAAAUGCUUAGAUAUCACUCAGAACACCGAUUGCGAAGGCAUCUGACGAAUCCGUCACUGACGCUGAGGCACGAAAGCGUGGGGAUAGAACAGGAUUAGAUACCCUGGUAUUCCACGCCGUAAACGAUGAUGACUAACCGUCGGCGAUAGACAGCCGGUGGCCAAGCGAAAGCGAUAAGUCAUCCACCUGGGGAGUACGUCGGCAACGAUGAAACUCAAAUGAAUUGACGGGG